rnacentral:rRNA from 1 species
GAUGAACGCUGGCGGCGUGCCUAAUACAUGCAAGUCGAGCGAACAGAUGAGGAGCUUGCUCCUCUGACGUUAGCGGCGGACGGGUGAGUAACACGUGGAUAACCUACCUAUAAGACUGGGAUAACUUCGGGAAACCGGAGCUAAUACCGGAUAAUAUAUUGAACCGCAUGGUUCAAUAGUGAAAGACGGUUUUGCUGUCACUUAUAGAUGGAUCCGCGCCGCAUUAGCUAGUUGGUAAGGUAAAGGCUUACCAAGGAAACGAUGCGUAGCCGACCUGAGAGGGUGAUCGGCCACACUGGAACUGAGACACGGUCCAGACUCCUACGCGAGGCAGCAGUAGGGAAUCUUCCGCAAUGGGCGAAAGCCUGACGGAGCAACGCCGCGUGAGUGAUGAAGGUCUUCGGAUCGUAAAACUCUGUUAUUAGGGAAGAACAAAUGUGUAAGUAACUAUGCACGUCUUGACGGUACCUAAUCAGAAAGCCACGGCUAACUACGUG